UACGUAGGGGGCAAGCGUUGUCCGGAAUCAUUGGGCGUAAAGAGCGUGUAGGCGGCCCGAUAAGUCCGCCGUGAAAGUCCAGGGCUCAACCCUGGAAUGCCGGUGGAAACUGUCGGGCUGGAGUCCGGAAGAGGCGAGUGGAAUUCCUGGCGUAGCGGUGAAAUGCGCAGAUAUCAGGAGGAACACCAAUGGCGAAGGCAGCUCGCUGGGACGGUACUGACGCUGAGACGCGAAAGCGUGGGGAGCAAACAGG
rnacentral:rRNA from 1 species